rnacentral:RNase_P_RNA from 1 species
UGAGUAAGACAGAUGAUCGCGGCUGUCCAGACGAAAGGGGACAGGUGAGGAAAGUCCGGGCUUCAUAGGGCAGGAUGCCGGAUAACGUCCGGUGGAGGUGACUCCAAGGCCAGUGCAACAGAAAUAUACCGCCGGGUUUCCCGGUAAGGGUGGAAAGGCAGUUUAAGAGACUACCGCUUUCUUGGUAACAAGGAAGGCACAUGUAAACCCCAUCCGAAGCAAGACCGAAUAGAAAGCGAUACGGCUGCCCGUCGUGCUUUCAGGUGGGUCGCUUGAAGCUGUUGGCAACAGCAGUUCUAGAUAGAUGAUCAUCCAACGACAUAACCCGGCUUACCGUUUUGCUCAUUAU